UUCUUUUUCCUGGCACUCACGAGGUGCAUGCUUAGGAUACUCAGGAAAUAGUGCUACGGAACAGUAUUUGCAAUGACGAAGAGGCGAGCAGUGAGAAGACGACGACAAAAAGCUAUAUACAAGUAUAUUUACAAGGGAAUACGCCGCACUUGGCCAAGAGGUGACAGGCCAGGGUAGCCUCCAAUCGUCGUCGUCGUCGUCUUCUCACUGCUCGCCUCUUCGUCAUUGCAAAUACUGUUCCGUAGCAAUAUCGUUGGUAUGGCAUAGUGUUAUAGGCGUCUUUUAUCACGGGGAAUCUCGUGGACAACACCGUUAAUUCACGGUGAUAGAGGACGCACACUGGACUAAGCUGUUUUCUAAAUGUUUUUCACAAUCACAGCAGUUGGUGCCAGCCUUCUGUCCGUUCUCCAGGUCAUUCUUGCCCAUUCUGCUACCGCUUCGUAUCAGAUGGUGGAGUGAACAAGGAUACACACCCUCUGUUUGAGCGGUAGCCGCUUCUACACAAUGGCACAAAGCAGGUCCUUUCCUUGCACUCUCUCUUUAGCAUCGUCAUUUUUUCACUGCCAGCGCAUAGUUCUCGUAAUGACAAGCACACAAACACAGCAGCUACACACUCACUCUUUGACAACACCAAGAACAAACACGCAAUGCUGUAAUAAGACAGAAAACGCAAACAUAGAAACCGACGCAACCGCUGUGAAACUGAUGUGCGAAGCAGACGAAACGCGCACUCUGGACCCACCCGUAUAGCAGCGACCUCUGUCGGCCACCGUGGGCAUUCAUUGCAGGCGGCGCCAUGCUUCUCCAUUGAAAAGAGCGGGUGCACAGCACACUAGCCAGUAUAUUCUAGGCACUAUAGUUUUACAGUGCACACAACACUCCUGCGAGGGUGUCGAUAGUUGAUGGAAGCGCCGCUGUUCCAUAUGCGGCGGCACCAGGCCCCGCGUACUCUCAAGUUCAAGAAAUGGCCACAGAGGGUGAAAAAAUCGACCGCGCGCCGCUGCUAACAAAACCAGCAUAGUAGCAUCACUUCGGGAUGCUUACGUUAGUUUCAACAUUUUCCGCUAGAGGCGCCGUAAUAAGCGUAAUUUUAUCUUACAAACUUUCUGUUCCAAUUACCGAAGCAUUUUUAUUACAUAAAAAAGAUGGCGAAAUUAUCAUUGCUAAUUAGAUAUUGUGCUCUUUGUAAGUAAGUUGUUUCUUUGCCAGUAUAGACGCAAAUAGCGUUCAGCAUCAUUGAUCUUUCACGUGACCUCUCGCCUGGAUUUAAAAUUUUUACCGGCAUUUUCGAGUGCAUGGUGGCACGGAUUCAUUCGUUCGUGCACUCAGACUGGUUGCUUCUUUUUUGCUAAAACUAGUUUAUUGUGCUUCGAUGUCUCGCGUUAUUUAACCUGGGGUGAAGUGACGUGUUUGCAAGUGGACACGUAGGCCCGAAAGUUGGGUAUCGGUUGUGAGCCAUUCGGAACACGUCUGCAUCAAAACGGGAGCUGGAUUCUGCUGCGUCUGACAACGGCAAUAACGACAUGCAGUAACGAGGACGGCACCAGUAUAAAGCAACACACUCCACACACUAAACGGAAGUGCUGCCUGCUACAACAAGGCCAUUGUGUGGACAUUGGCUGCUACUACAAGAGUCUAUGCCAAGCACAUCUUGGUCAUCACAGGAGCUCCUAUGUACACCAACAGGAAGGGGCUGGAGCUGAAUUUGCAGGGCUUUUACACCACGAACAAAGAAGCGCAUGCAGAAGAAUUUGGAUGAGAUAUCAAGUCUGCAGAGGACUAUGUCAAGACUGAAAAGAGCUUCAGUCACGAUUCCACCAGCACGGACAUUUGGCUGAGUCAUCCAGGUAACUCAGA